GACGAACGCUGGCGGCGUGCUUAACACAUGCAAGUCGAACGGUAAGGCCCUUCGGGGUACACGAGUGGCGAACGGGUGAGUAACACGUGGGUGAUCUGCCCUGCACUUCGGGAUAAGCCUGGGAAACUGGGUCUAAUACCGGAUAGGACCACUGCCUGCAUGGGUGGUGGUGGAAAGCUUUUGCGGUGUGGGAUGGGCCCGCGGCCUAUCAGCUUGUUGGUGGGGUGACGGCCUACCAAGGCGACGACGGGUAGCCGGCCUGAGAGGGUGACCGGCCACCCUGGGAUUGAGAUACGGCCCGGACUCCUACGGUAGGCAGCAGGGGUGAAGAUUGCACAAUGGGCGCGAGCCUGAUGCAGCGAGGCCGCGUGAGGGAUGAUGGCCUUCGGUUUGUAAACCUCUUUCAGCACCGACGAAGCGCAAGUGACGGUAGGUGCAGAAGAAGGACCGGCCAACUACGUGCCAGCCGCCGCGGUAA
rnacentral:rRNA from 1 species